CUAGUUCAGGUUUACCUUUUUAUAGGUUUCACCUCCCCCCACUUCACCUCCCAGUUGCCAUUGCAGGGACUGGCCCUUUACAUUCAGGAGAGGCGAGCAGCUUUGGCCCUAAAGCAGCCAUUUUGUAAAUGGUUACUGUUUGUUACAGUUUCCUUUCUUUCAGCAGAUUCUUAAGCAAUGUGUACUCAAAAGACCUCAUCAUCACAAAGUCUGUUUCUAUGCAACUGUGAAUGAAAUGUCACAGCCCCUCAUGCUGUACAUGCAGCCAAAUGUAAACAAUGGAACUCUUCCCUACCCACCUCUUAUCCCCAAGCACUUAAAAAUGAAGGCGGGCAAUGAAGUGUUCUCAUUCACGAAUUCUGGGAACCUCCCCAUUGUUGUGGUCAGUUGCCUUGUAGUUGUAACAUAUACAUGAGCACCUUGAAUUAGUUCUCUUGAAGGCAUAUGAAUUUCUAGAGCCAUAGAAAGACAGACAAAAACAUCCUCCCACAACUUCAGUGGCAUCACAAUCAAGGAUGAUGGAAAAGGAUUAUAGCAACACAGAGAUAUGGAAAGUGCACAAAAUCUGAGCAUUUAGGAUGCUCCCUACAGGCUUUCUUUAGAUGGCAUUUUUCUCUAGAAUUUAAGCUUUUGGGUGUUUUAAAAUACUGUAUUUCUAAUGCAUAGAAAUUAAGCCAAAUCAAGCCAGUUAAUUGUAAAGUUUCAUAUUUUACAGGAGGGGCUGAAAUCCAAACCUGGAUCUGAAGCUCAGAUUUGCAAAUGUCUCCUAUCCUUAUAAAGGGCAAAACCAAACUGCAGAUUCAAAUACUCCUGAAAUUUGGGAUUCAAAGGCCAGAUCUGAAUUUUGGGACUUGACCAUAUACGCAUUAAUCACCAAAUUCUGCUGUCAGAUGAGUGCACAUAAGUUGCCAUCAGAAUAUAAGUGCUCCAUCAGAUUUAAAUAAGAACACAAAAGACCAGGUUGUGUCAUUUAGCCACUUACUCAUUCAGAGUGUGGUGAGGAGCCACCCCUAGGGGAAGGGAUAAUUUCCUCAACAGCAUGUAGAACAGGAGUGAGGAUGAUGUCUUUCCCCUGGCACGCCCAGUCUGUGGUGUGAAGCAGGGAAGGGACCCUCCUCCCUGUCCAAUCUGGGGUGGAUUGUUCCACUGGGAGAGAGCCCUGCACUCCCCAGAGAACAGGAAUUGCUGUCAUCUGUAGCCCUUGUGUAGGGAGGGUGGGGGCUAACUGGGGAGGUUACCCCCAGCCCAUACACCUGUGCAAUGGUGAGGGGCAAUCUCCAUAACAGAAAUGUUAUUUCCAUGGGGUUUUCAGUGUGAAAUCCUAUUAUUAUCCUUACCAGCUAUAUAUUGUUAGCUGGAAACAUCCCGUUUGAAGUGUUUAUUCAGUGUGAUGGGGUGUGCUUGUCACAUCUUAACAUUCCAUCCAUUUUAAAUGGAAUUCAACACCAAUGAUUAAAGAUAUGGAGGGAUUGAUUUAAGGGGUAAGAUCUAAAGAUUCAAAUAUGUAUAAAAUAGCUAAAUACUGUCAACGAAGAGGAUAUGACAACUGUCAACAAGCAGUUGAAAGGUGUGACUGCCAGGGAGGGAGAUGAAUUGUUUAUGAUGCUCCAAGCAUGCAAAGGUAUAAGUAACGAGGUACAAUUAACCAAAAGAAAAAUUUUGACAACCUCUCAGGAAAAUGACUGGAACAUUAUCUCCUGGGAAAGGUCAGGAUCAUAUCACUAGAGCCAUAUAUAAAUAGAGACUGGAGAAGGACAGUAAUCUGGAUCUGUGUUAAAUUUACACAAAGAGUCAAAGUUCAGGUUCAAGGCUGAUGUAAUAUAAAGGAUGGAGCUGGGAUUCAAUGUCAUUGAAGUCUUGCAUUCUGUUCUUACUCACAUUCCAAAAUGAUAGAAAUCUGUUGAGAUUAGCUGUUCUCACCAGAUUUUUCCCAUUUUGUGUAGAUUUUAUUCCAUGCUUAAAACUGGAAUCUUCAUGGAAGUAACCAUAUGCCCUUUCUCUUACAGAAUUGAGCAGUUUUCCAGAUCACAUUAGGAAUUCUCUCACUAGGCAUGGUUUCCCAGAGCCCAAAGAAUCCCUACUCAUAUUUGAGACAGCUUCUUCUGGGCUCUGGAAUACUCAAUUUUUCAACUUUCCCCACCAGUGCCUGAAUAUGCUCUUUAUAUGCAUAAAAACAUAACACUGUUCACCUGGGAAGGCAGGAGAAAGACACUGGGGAGCCAGAGAGGUGAAGAGGGUACUGGGGAUCCACAAUGGGAUUGUGAGGAUGCACCAUGAUGACGACAAUCACUUUCUCCCUGCUUGAUGUGGGAGGGGUGAGUGUCAUAGAAGUCUCUGGUCAUUGUGCAUUGUAGGAAAUGUUGUCUGGUCAGAGAGCCUUACCCACAGCGGAGAAUGGGAGCAAUAAGGUACUCAAAGUAAAGAUGACACAGAGCAGUGUGAGGGAUGGAAGAGGCCUCUGAGCUGACCCUUGAAAAAGGAAACCUUCUUAGUGGCUGAUGGGUUGAGGAGAGAGGACAGUAAACUGUCAGAUAACCUGAAACCACAGGAAAGAAAAGGCAGUGUUUGCGGCACAGUAGUUGGUCAGUAAGCGAGAGGCCUUGAAUCAAAAGGUUUCCAAAUCUUAUUACAGUAGUCAGGAGAAGAGCCUACGUCACAUGACUUCCCCGCCAUCAGCUCUAACCUGCACACAGCUUGUCUCCUGAGGGCAUAACUGCUAUCUUUCAUUCUAGAUACUUGCAAAUUUGCAUGCCAUGUUACAUCUGCACAUGAUAAUUAGUAGAAACCAUUAUUUCCCAGGGAAACAAUAAGAAUUGGAGGCAAAUGCUCCUGGGCUAUUAUACGGGGUAAUGCUUUUGUUUUAGCUUCUAACAGUGAUAUUUACCAGGCGUCACCAUCAGCUUUUGGCAGAGCUGAUCUUCCAUUAAUUACCUAUUUCCCUACAAUAAUCCAUUAAAUUAAUAAGAAAAACAACAUGGUGGUCUUCAUGGAUUUAAAAAAUAACAAGCUCCAAAACAAAACCUAAUGGCCUAGCUUGGCAAUAUAACCGCAUUGCAAUGUACUGUUAUAGUUCUCAAAGGUCGGAGCUCAGGGCCUGAGUUUCCUGGGUUGGCAGAAGCUGGAAGUAUGCAGAUGCAAUUCAUUCAGUCCAUGGGGAAUGGGAGCAUUCUGUAUUGUUCUCAAGUGACCUCUUUUCCCUGAUUCAAUUGUAAUAUUGAUAUACCAUAGAGACAGUUGCCUCCUGCCCUCCUUCUGAGGUAGGAAAUUAAGUCAUCUCUCUGAAGUGCCUUUGAGGAUGUGGAGGAUAAAAGGGAAAAAUGAGAGAAUCCAAAAUUAUCUCAAUGGGGACAGGAAAGAAGGUUAGGGAGCUAAGCUGGUCUUUCAUAGUCUGAUUCUCUAUCAUAUCAAAGGUGGAUUAUACCACUUUUGCACAACUGCCCAGGUUCAGUGAGGGUUUUGAUGGGGAGGGGAAAAUGUCUUCUUUUGAUUGAUAAAGUGUUGGCUUCUCUGACAGGUAAGACGUUAGACUUCAUUGACUGCAGGUCCAGUGUGGUGUAGCAUUAUUUUGUUCCUCCACCAACUCCAAUUAUUUAAUCAUAUGGGCCUUUUAAAAUGUGAAAAUGCCUUGACCCAGUUUAUCAGUAGUUCUUUUAAUACAAGAGAUUUUCUCUCAACAUCCCUCAUACAAAUUAAGAUUUUUUUUUCUCUUUAUUCGAUAGCUUCCCCCCUGGCAUAUUAAGCUUAUGUGUUUGAAAAUGACUUAUGUACUUUAUGGAAAUAAAUCAUUUGCAAGCAAUAUCAUGCCUAAAUUGGUCUCCUAUGACAACUGAGUCAUUUGCAGCCCUGCAGAAUUAGAACUGACACUAAAAGCACAGAAUGAUUUAAGGGAAAUGACAGACUUGUGCUCCGGUAGUGGUAAAGUACUAUAUGUUUUAAGAGAGAAAAGGGCCUAGAAGAGUGCAUAUCUCCACAUUUCUAAUUCACCAUUAAGAACCUAAAGACACUUGUGUAAAGUAAUGUUAUAUGUAGUUUUAAAAAGCAAUACCUAAUUAACAUUAGAUUUUUAGCAUCUAGGAUGCAUCAGUUAGCCAUUUUUUCCCUCUAUACAAACCAUGCUCUGGACAUUUUUGAAUGUGCAAAUACUAGAGAGAUGACAAAAGCAAUAUAGGAACAGACGAGUGGUCCUGGGCUAAUAGAGAGAGAACUUGAUGAAGGAGAUGAAAUGUUUGGUCUCU